CCUACGGGGGGCAGCAGUGGGGAAUAUUGCACAAUGGGGGAAACCCUGAUGCAGCGACGCCGCGUGAGUGAAGAAGUAUUUCGGUACGUAAAGCUCUAUCAGCAGGGAAGAAAAUGACGGUACCUGACUAAGAAGCCCCGGCUAACUACGUGCCAGCAGCCGCGGUAAUACGUAGGGGGCAAGCGUUAUCCGGAUUUACUGGGUGUAAAGGGAGCGUAGACGGCAGCGCAAGUCUGGGGUGAAAUCCCAUGGCUUAACCAUGGAACUGCUUUGGAAAAUGUGCAGCUAGAGUGCAGGAGAGGUAAGCGGAAGUCCGAGUGUAGCGGUGAAAUGCGUAGAUAUUAGGAGGAACACCAGUGGCGAAGGCGGCUUACUGGACUGUAACUGACGUUGAGGCUCGAAAGCGUGGGGAGCAAACAGGAUUAGAUACCCGGGUAGUC
rnacentral:rRNA from 1 species